UACGUAGGGGGCAAGCGUUGUCCGGAUUUAUUGGGCGUAAAGAGCGUGUGGGCGGCUUUACAGGUCCGUUGUGAAAACUCGAGGCUCAACCUCGAGACGCCGGUGGAAACCGUAAGGCUAGAGUCCGGAAGAGGAGAGUGGAAUUCCUGGUGUAGCGGUGAAAUGCGCAGAUAUCAGGAAGAACACCCGUGGCGAAGGCGGCUCUUUGGGACGGUACUGACGCUGAGACGCGAAAGCGUGGGGAGCGAACAGG
rnacentral:rRNA from 1 species